GCGGGGCCAUGGAUAAGGGAGCUUCAAGGCCCAUUGGAGAGCAAGUAGCUAAGACAUCGUGCUAUCAUAGCUACGUAAUAUGUUUGGGGAUGGUGGCACCCAAGAAAGAGAAGAUAUCCUCUUGCAGGCUCUGGCUUCUAAAGGACUGGCAUUUCCCGGCAGUCCUCUGAGCUAUGAGAUGGAGUCCAAGCCCUAACCCUCAAAUCAAUCAAGUACUGAAGAAGACCACCGAGGGGGAAAAAUCAAUGAAAAAAAAAGUCUUCACAACAAAGCAAUAAGUGAAUCCCAAAUAAUUGAGCUGCAUCACUGUACGAAAA